AAGACUCCUUUAAAGGCGAUGGUAUUUCUCCCAGAGUCUUCUGAAGAGUUGAGAGACCCAAAUGAAAAGAUAGUGUCAGAAGUCCCAGAUCUAUUCCUGCUGUCCCUCCCUGGCUCAAGUGAGAAAGGUGACAUCCUAGCGCAAGCACCACAGCAUGGCCCUCAGGAUUUACGUUGUGAACCAGCAAAGCAACUGCCUCCAAGGUCACCUUCAUGAAAGCCAAUUUGCCUUAGAAGAACCAAAUUCCUGAUGCAAAGCACAACUUGUCAUGGAAAUUUACAGGUCCCCAUCACGGUCAAGCCUAAGAGCCACUACUGCCCUCUUGUGGUUCUGUAAUGGAAGAUCUCAAUCCCAGGGCCAUCUUCACUUGGGGAAAGAGGC
rnacentral:sRNA from 1 species